rnacentral:lncRNA from 1 species
AAAUUCAACACAUUAUUCUCCCCCUUUUUCAUUAAAUUAGAGGCUCUUAAGAUCAACUAUUUGAAUUGCAAUUUGGUUCAUGAUUGAUGCAUAAGAUAUACUAACCAAAUAACAAGCCUCAAGGUGUAUCGUAAAGAUUUUUAGAUUAAAUUUCAGAUGAUACAUAUUGGAGAGUAUUAGGAUCACUUUUUAUUUAGUAUUCUUUCCCUCUCCUUUAGUUAUG